rnacentral:rRNA from 1 species
AUACGGAGGGGGCUAGCGUUGUUCGGAAUUACUGGGCGUAAAGCGCACGUAGGCGGACUGGAAAGUUGGGGGUGAAAUCCCGGGGCUCAACCCCGGAACUGCCUCCAAAACUUCCAAUCUAGAGAUCGAGAGAGGUGAGUGGAAUUCCAAGUGUAGAGGCGAAAUUCGUAGAUAUUUGGAGGAACACCAGUGGCGAAGGCGGCUCACUGGCUCGAUACUGACGCUGAGGUGCGAAAGCGUGGGGAGCAAACAGGAUUAGAUACCCUAGUAGUCC